rnacentral:lncRNA from 1 species
ACUAUAGAAUCCUAUAGAAUUGUUAGGAAAGUCCUUAGAAGAAUCUAGCUGUCUAGAAUAUUCUAGAGAAGGGACUUAGUUGUAAAUAUAGAAGGACUUGUAGAACAAUUAUUAUUUACAUACUAGCCCCUAGGUGAUUAGUAUAAAUAGCGGGCAUUCAUUUGUAAUUUAUCAACCAAACAAAACAAUCAAGUUCUCUCUAAUACAAAAACUUCCUUUGGCAAUUCUCUUGUGCUCUAACAUUCUCUUAGCGAUCUUGAGUGCAGUAAGACUGACUUGACAUAGCAAGAACGUGAGCAGGAUGUGCAAGAUCGUGAGCGAGUUGUCAAGUGCUGCAGGUGCGCUUAGUUUAAGGCUAAGAACGUGACAUAUGGUUAAGUAUUUCGCAAUUCAAAAUAUUGAGGGCAGUUGGGUUUGCAUGGUAGGCUAAACGGCAAUAGAUACUAUUUUCAUAAAAAUAACUGAUAAGUAAUACUUUCUCAGUUUAAUUUUACUUGUCCAGUAUUCUAAAAAUAGAUUUUCACUUUUACUUGUCACUUUUAGCAUAUCUUUUUUCCUGUUAUAUCCAUAAAUUACUCAUUUCAGAUCAUUUCUCAAAUUCAUUAAAAGUAUGUAUCAAUUAAUACAGGUAUCAUGGUAAAUUAUGCAAUUUAUUUAUUAAUUUUUAAGAGGUGUGCAAAGUCCAUAGUGAACUAGUAAAAGUGAAUGGAGGGAGUAAGUAGAUAAAUAAAAAUGCAAAUUGAUAUGAAAAUAUUAGAACAAAUGUCGUUUUAUAAUUAAAAAAAUUAUUUGAAUAUGCUUAAAGGAAAGUAAUAUUUUACUGUCUAAAGUUGAUAAACUAAAUUAAUAAAAUAUGCAGUGAAAAUUACAAUGUCACGAGCUAACAGAGAAAAAAUAUAAGGUAAUAAUACUUGUAAAAGUAAUUGGAGAUACUAUAAAUAUUAUUAUAACUUUUAAAUAAAAUAGUAGCUUAAUGCGAUAAAUUCGGGUGUAUAAGGACAAAAUUACGUGCCAACAUGGAUUACCUCAUUUUAUUUCAUUUUCGAGACUUAGACUUCACUAGAGUUGAUUUUGGAUAGCAAUUUCUUUCCAACUUCAAGAGUUAGUAAGUUUAACUUGUUUUUGAUUAAUUUUCAUCAUUUUUCAUAGAUUUUAUAUAUCUAGAUUUUUAUAGAGUAGAAAUAAGAUUUUUGGGUAGAAACCUAAGGUUUAUUAUUUUGGAGAUUUAAACCUUGAUUUGAGGUCGGAUCUCGAAUCAAAAUACAUAUUUGCACCCGGGGGUGAAUGAGUAAUUAGGAUUUGAUCUUGAUUUCGGAUUUCGAUCAAGUGGUCGGGAUUGAGUUUUGUUGACUUUUUCAAAUAUGUUAAAGAUCGAAACAUUUUGAUACUAGGGUAAUUUUUAAGGCUUGUUUUGACUUAUUUUGAACAUUAAUUGGCUAGAUUCGAAUGGUUUGGAGGCUUGUGCUAAAAGAAAAGCGAUAUUAGAGGAUUGAUGUGUGCCGGAAAGAGGUAAGUGUCUUGGUUAACCUUAGUUUGAGGAAAUUAGGAUGUAAAUGGGUCUAUUUGCUAUGUGUUAUAUAUAUAUUGGGAGGCGUAUGUGCAAGUUGACGAAUGUAUAUGUGUUUGCUAUGGUUAAGCAUGCGGGUAGAACUAAAUUUAUUUAUAUCUUUUUUUCUUCUUAUAUAUUAUGUCUUCUGUGCUCUAAUUAGAUGGUGAAUCUCUUUAACUGUUCCUAUUCAUGUUAAUAUCUAUGUUGAGCUUGUUGUGAUAUUGGGCAUUAAGACUAUUGGAAUGAUGGUUUGGAUAUUGGUGCAAAGUGAUGAUUAUUUUUCCAUAUAUUAUGUUAUGUUCAAUCACUCUUCUUGAUAUUGCUUGUGCUUCUACCUUUGCUUGGUACUGUUUUCAUGUUUAUGCUUGGUGAGGAAGAGUAAUUGCAUGAUGGGUACAUCAGUGCUAUGAGAAUGAGUGACGAUGCACGUUGGGUAUUUUCGUGCUGUGAGAUUGAGAGAUAUUGCAUGCAAGUAUUUUCAUACAACGAGAAUAAGUGAUAUAUGCAUGAUGGAUAUUUCCGUGCGGUAAGAACGAGUGAUAUAUGCAUGAGGUGUGUGUCAAUGCUAUUGAAUUAUGAACUCAUUUAUAUGGUAUCAUGAUAAUUAGCUUGUUCUUUUGGAUUUGAACUGUGGAGACAAGUUUGGCUGUGACUUUUGCGGACCAUGUUGAUUAUUUCCUUUAGUUGAUCAUUUUAUUGUUUUCUUGCAAUUUCUAUUAUUAUCUCUUUUAAUAUUGUUUUAAAUGUUAUUUUUCUUAUUUGUUCUCUUGCUUAUUUACUGUAGAGGUUUAUAUGUAGGUGUCUUGUCUUAUCCUCGUCAUUACUUCGUCGGAUUUAGGCUCGACACUUACGGAGUAUAUUGGGUCGUUUGUACUCAUAUUGUACUUCUGCAUUUCUUGUGCAAAUUUUGGCAUCGGACCUAGUGGUACUCAGAGGACAGACUAGCUUGCUUUACUAAGGAAACUCAAGGUAGUGUUGCAUUCUUGUAUGCGGGCCAUAAAGUCCUCUUAUUUAGUUCUGUUACUGUUAAUCAUUUUAAAUGGUGUAUUUAUUAUUUUAGAUGCUGUAUUUAGUAAUCCUACAGAAGCGCAUGUACUCCAUGAUACUAGUUUUCGAGGUAUCUAGACGAAUGUUUGGUUUUAGUCUUAUUAUACAUUACUGAGUUUUAUCCUUUAUUAUAAUAUCACGU